rnacentral:rRNA from 1 species
AUUGAACGCUUGCGGCAUGCUUUCCACAUGCAAGUCGAUCGGUAACAGGCCGCAAGGUGCUGACGAGUGGCGAACGGGUGAGUAAUGCAUCGGAACGUGCCCAGUCGUGGGGGAUAACGCAGCGAAAGCUGUGCUAAUACCGCAUACGAUCUAUGGAUGAAAGCGGGGGACCGUAAGGCCUCGCGCGAUUGGAGCGGCCGAAGUCAGAUUAGGUAGUUGGUGGGGUAAAGGCUCAUCAAGCCAACGAGCUGUAGCUGGUCUGAGAGGAGGACCAGCCACACUGGGACGGAGACACGGCCCAGACUCCUACGGGAGGCAGCAGUGGGGAAUUUUGGACGAUGGGCGCAAGCCUGAUCCAGCAGUGCCGCGUGCAGGAAGAAGGCCUUCGGGUUGUAAACUGCUUUUGUACGGAACGAAAAGGUUUGGGUUAAUACCCUGGGCCGAUGACGGUACCGUAAGAAUAAGCACCGGCUAACUACGUGCCAGCCGCCGCAGUAA